rnacentral:misc_RNA from 1 species
GUGGCACCCUUAGGCCAAGCUGACUCAGGAGCCCUCGUGGAUUCCACAAGGAUGGUGUUUUGUUUCAUGCUCACAGUGGGGUCUAGGAGGGCUUGCAGGCAGUAAGUGCCAGGACCCGUGUUGGCGCCCGAGGAUCCCUGGCAUGUUCGGGGACGGUGAGGUGCCUGCCCGGGGAAUGCGCAGUGCGCCGAGGGCGGGACUGGAACCCUCCGCUCUCAGGAGGCGCGGUCCGGGCGCCAAAAGGUGCAGCUCUGUCAUUUCCACUCUGCUCUGCUGCACAGCAGGCAGAAGCCCUGGCCGUCCCCUGCUGUGUUCUUCAGGAGAAACGUCAGGGGCCUUCCUCCAAGGUUCUCCAGCCCCACACCCCUGUGGAGGAAGGUGCUCUCCACCGCGGUAGUGGGGGCGCCCCUGCUCCUCGGAGCCCGCUAUGUCAUGGCAGAGGCACGGGAGAAGAGGAGGAUGCGGCUCGUGGUGGAUGGCAUGGGGCGCUUUGGCAGGUCUCUGAAGGUCGGCCUGCAGAUCUCCCUGGACUACUGGUGGUGCACCAAUGUUGUCCUUCGAGGGGUGGAAGAGAACAGCCCAGGCUACUUGGAGGUGAUGUCUGCGUGUCACCAGCGGGCGGCUGAUGCCCUGGUGGCAGGGGCCAUCAGCAACGGGGGCCUCUACGUGAAGCUGGGCCAGGGGCUGUGCUCCUUCAACCACCUGCUUCCCCCCGAGUAUACCCGGACCCUGCGCGUGCUAGAGGACAGGGCCCUCAAGCGGGGCUUCCAGGAGGUGAGUGU